UUCCACAAUAAACGUGGAAUUUAUGCAGUAGACCAACUGCGUAGUGGGUUAGAACCCACACAUAAGGAGAAACAAAAUG
rnacentral:ncRNA from 1 species